UACGAAGGGGGCUAGCGUUGUUCGGAAUCACUGGGCGUAAAGCGCACGUAGGCGGAUGUGUCAGUCAGGGGUGAAAUCCCGGAGCUCAACUUCGGAACUGCCCUUGAUACAGCACGUCUUGAGUCCGGAAGAGGUGGGUGGAAUUCCUAGUGUAGAGGUGAAAUUCGUAGAUAUUAGGAAGAACACCGUGGCGAAGGCGGCCCACUGGUCCGGUACUGACGCUGAGGUGCGAAAGCGUGGGGAGCAAACAGG
rnacentral:rRNA from 1 species